UACAGAGGGGGCAAGCGUUGUUCGGAAUUACUGGGCGUAAAGGGCGCGUAGGCGGCCCGCUAAGUCGAACGUGAAAUCCCCGGGCUCAACCCGGGAACUGCGUCCGAGACUGGAAGGCUUGAAUCCGGGAGAGGGAUGUGGAAUUCCAGGUGUAGCAGUGAAAUGCGUAGAUAUCUGGAGGAACAUCGGUGGCGAAGGCGGCAUCCUGGACCGGUAUUGACGCUGAGGCGCGAAAGCCAGGGGAGCAAACGGG
rnacentral:rRNA from 1 species